CGUGCCCGCGCGCUGAGUUUGGUGAGCGGCGUGUUGGGUAUCUCGGAGCUGAACUCUGGGUGUAAGAUGCAUGGUUAUUUUCACAGGGCCCUGUGUGGCAGCGGCUUUGGCUCUUCAAUACACUGCAGGCUGACUUUACCAGCAGGCUGGGACUGAUAAGGAAGUCGUAUAUGGUUGAAGCAGAGUUCUAGCCCAAAGACAGUCUCUCCACACCUCAGCAGCAAUAACGAUAGAACUCCAACUCGGCUCCACUGCGCCCCCUGUGGCAGCACAUCUGAAGUGCAGGCACAGCUUUGAACUGUGACAUGACAUGAUUGACUUGUUAGUCACACUAUACUUAUUUUGAGGUAUUACGGGUAAGCACGUCACAUCGGAGUCACUUUCAGGUUUGGAACAACAUGAGGGUGAGUAAAUGCCAGUAUUUUCAUUUUGGCUGAACCAUCCCUUUAAUUCUGCCACACUGGGAUUACAGACCCCCAUAUUCCCUCCCACUGUAAAAAUUCUCAUCUAGAUUUAUUCUCAUCAGAUACCCAGGUGUGGUGAGCCACUGUUAUUCAGAACCCAGCACAGGUCUUCAUCAAGUGCAGUGCACUGUGGGAUAGCGCUCGGUCUGUGCGUAGGGAGGGGGACAAACACAGCAGAACAGGGUUCAUGUAGGGUUGUUAUUAGCUUUGUGCGUUAGCAUUGAGUCAGAUGCUUCGGGAACUGACCGUGUGAGUCAUACGCAAACAAAUCUAUCUUUAGUUAGGUUUCUGUAGUCCCCUAGCAAGCCUAUUGUGUGGCAUCGCAGUCCCGUCGACUAUGUUAAUGUUUGCACAGCCGCACAAUGGUCUCUAUCUGAUAUCCUCAUCUGCUACCUAUCAGGUUAAUACUAAACUGAGGUUACUAGAUGGACCAGAUAAUGAGUAAAAGAGCAAGACCUAGGAAAGAAGAGAGUCAUAAGAAUAAUAAUAUAUGAAUUAAAGGAAUAGUUCACCUAAAAAUGAUAUAAUAAUUUGGAUAUUAUAAAUAAUUUUGUCAUCAUUAAAGGCCUGUUCACACCAAAAACGAUAACGAUAAUAGUUUUAAAAAAAUCUUUCUAAAUUUAAAAGAAUAGCACCAGAAUCCACACUACAAUGAUAACGGCACAGAGGAAUGAUUUAGAGUGCAACAGUGCCUGCCCACUUUUUCAGCGGCGUUGUUUUUUUUUCCCAUUAAUUUUUCCCAUAGGGAUUUUAAAAAGGUCUUUGCUAAAGCAUUAUAAGCCAUGAAACAAGCCAACCAGCUACAAGGUGAAUCAUAACCUUACAAACUUUGAUUUGAAGCCAAAAAAUACAAACGUACAACACAGUGUAUUUAACGGCUUUGAAAGAACUACAAUCCCAUGAAACAUUGCGAACGGCAUAAUCAGAUUAAAAACGAUGGAAAAAUAUCACUCAUUUAAAAAUGUGGAUUAUAUAAGUAGCAAAUAUUUUUACUUAAAUAUUACACAAAUUUAAGUAUUUUGAGAUACUCCAUUACGUAAUUUGCAGUGCUUCAUUGGAGUAGGCAGAGCUACACACAAUUAGCUUUAUUCGACCCUCUGAUUGGUGGAAGUAUGUACAGCAUCAUGGGUAAUGUAGUUUUUACCACAAAUUCCACUGUUCAACACAAUUGUUUUGAAAAUAAGUUGAAAUAAUGUGGGCUGACGGCUUCAACACAAGCACAUGCUGUCUUUAAAGGUUUAUAAGUUAUCGUUAAAAAUCAGUUUCUCUGUGGAGUUUUUACUUCUGGAACCGGCUGUUGUGCACUAUUGUUGGAAUCACUUUCAAAACUAAUUUCCAGCAUGCUUAUAAUAUACAGAAUGUUACUGUGCAUUGGUGUAGGAACUAGUUAUCUUUAUAGUUACCAUUCUUGGUGUGCACAGGCCUUUACUUACCCUAUGACUGACUUUCUUAAAUUAAAUGCAGAAUAACAAAUUCAUUUAGAAAGCAGCUACACAUACAAAAUGUCUUAAUUUCUAUGCCACUGAAGAAAUUAAGUCCACAAGUUCGGAAACACAGGGUGAAUGAUGAUGACACAAGAUUAAUUUUUUGGGUGAACUUUCCCUGUAAAUAUGUACUCACCAGGAAGGAAAAAAACCAUUGACUUGGGUGUUCAACUUUCCCACCUGCUCGUUUCUAUGUCAUAAACAAAAAGAACGUAUCGUAUUUAUAUGAUACCCAGAUAGGCUCUAUGCAAUACUUGAUUCUGAUUGGGCAAUGCUAAUCGCUGUCGUUCAUGGCAACGCAAAGUCGGCGCAUGUUUCAGUGCAUAUUGUGUACAUCGUAAUCGAUUUUUUUUUUUUCUUUACAGAGGCUUUAAUACACAGUAAGAUUUUAAUAUUUGAAUAUUAAAUUCAAAUUAAUAUGUAAUGUCCAAAUAUUUACAUAUAAUGUUAGUAGGAUAAAGUGCAGUCAGCUGGUCAUUAGCGCAAAGUAAACCCCGACAGGAAUUUAAAAUCUCUCCGCGGUAUACCUCACUUACCAUAGGCCUAUAAUGCACUUUUUCAUAUCUGUAUUUCAUCAUCAAUACACAGACGACUCUUGUUUUAAGUGGAUCUAUAGCGCCAGGUGGGAAAUGUUCUAUCACAGCCGAUGAACAGUGUGUGUGUGUGAGUGAGACAGGGCGUUAAAUCUGAAGGAAGUUAUUUUUGAAGAACAGUCUGCUGGACAUCUCACUGACCUUCACAGGUUCGCACCUGCUUCACAGCACAGGUGGUUUGUUUUUUGGAAAAUACCUGCAAACUGUAAGAGAUGCAGUGUCUUUUUGGGCUGUAAAAGUAAGAAAAUUCUGAGAAGCAGAGUUUUAAUGUGUCAUAAAUGGAUUUUGACACUACAUACAUUAUGCCGGGGUUAAAUUGAGGUUAUACAACCAGUGAUUCAUUUAAACUACAUCUGUGUGCAAUGUCAUAAAGUAAGGCGUCUCCUUUAAUCUGUGUGGAAGUGCGCUAUCUAGUGACCAUAGUGUGAAUGCACACUUUAGCACUGACAAAUUCCUUAGCCAUCAAGCCUUGUAGGUUCCACUCUAGCAAACAAAGUAAAAAUUUUUUUAGUGAGAAAAUAAAAAAAAAGUCUAAAAAUUGUUUUAAAAAUGUACAUUUUCAUCACAAAUUAAAUUUGCCUUGUAAUGCCAGAUAUAAUCCACAGCCACUCAUUUUGAAGUAACCUACGGCUCUCUACCGCCCACAUGUGGUGGCUGAAUUAUUACAACUCAAUUUUACUGUAAAAGUGUGCAGAUGAUUUGACUGACAUCUGGUUGCAGUGGACUGAGAAAGUCAAACACGUUGUCUUGCUAUAUGCAGUCAUUAAAAUUGUUAUAAUUAAGUUAUCUAAUAUUACCUGGCCUGUAAUAACGUGCGUAUAGUACUGUAUUUCCACAAUGAAAUCCAUUA